rnacentral:lncRNA from 1 species
UGUAAAACGGUUUUCUAAUUCCUGAAAAAUUUUAAUAGAAGUAAUCUUUUUUAACGAUGAAAACUAUGAAUAGAAAUUUGAUCGAUAAAUAAACGGAAAUAAGGGCAAAGUAUAUUUGGAUACAUAAAGGUUAGAAGACUAUAAAUAUUAUAUCUAUUCAGAUUCAAAAAUCACUAUGUUUUUUUUAGAACAUGGAGAAUUCGAAUAACUAAGAAAUUUUUCAAUUAAAUAUCUUGUUGAGAUAUUCUUGAAAAUGAUUAAAAAUUAAAAAAAAAGAGGAAAAAAACUUUAUUUUGAAGAUGGACAUAAAUUAUUCAAACAAUUUACUUAAACGUGUUAGAAGCAACUAUGAAUAUUGAAAUAAAGAUGAAGAGUACUACAUAUUUCAUCACCUCAUCAUAUACUAUAAUGUAGUGUUUUCCCAGUCAGGCUUAACGUAAAUUCGAGUCAAUUACUAAGAUACCUAUAUAAAAUGAUUAUCGAAAUCGGAUGAUUAAUACUAGAACGAAACGAAAAAAAUACAACUUUGAAAAAAAUGAAUAGUACAAAUGAUUGGAAUGUUCAAGGUAUCGAAGGAAAGUGAAAUUUUCUUGAAGAGAAUAGAAAGUUUUAGCGAUAAGUUUUUUUUAUGACCUUAAAUGUCCUCGAAGAACACUCGUCGAAAUAAAAUAAGGACAGAAUGCAUCUAAACGUACUGUGUAUAGUUCGUAUCAGUCGAUAUUUUACAACAGGACCUGGAAUAUCGAUUUGGUAACUUCUAGACACGUGGCACCGCCAUUACGAUCGAUAUUACAAGAGUAUUUCGUCGAAAAUAUAUUCGCAAACUAUUUACCUAUACUACAACUGAAUUUUAUCAUUCGAUUUACAAAACAAUGGUCAAUAUCCAAACAGGAGAAGGAAAUUCGCGAGAGAGUCGAACAUGUAUAAUAUAAUAUAGAGGAAGAGAAAAUGAAAGGAAAUUCUAUAAAUAGGAAUAACAGUUCAUGCAGUAGUUCAUAAUAUCGAAGAUAGAUCAGAUAGCGUGCACUUUCGACAAUUUUCGAUUUAAUUUUCGAUAUAUUUUUUUUUUUUUUGCCGAAACGAAAGAACAUUUAGCUGGAAUAUUGACAACGAGAAACUGAAUAGUGAAAAAGAAAAAUGAAGAAGAAAAAAGUAUGGAGGAAAGUUGAUUUUUUCGUAAUAGAGGUAUCAAGGCUUUAAUCCUCUUAUUUAGACAUGGUAUGGAAAAAGGAUACUUGUAUCUGAAAGUGUGAAAGUAGAAGCGAAUACUCUUUGAAAUAUCGCGUGAAGGAACAUAAUGUGGAAAAAUUGCGGUAAGUAUGUGAGAAAAAAAGAUUCGUAAAAGUAAAUUGAAUACUAUGAUACUACCUUCCAAUUUUAUCUGAGGGUAUGCUAUGUAGGUCAGGAUGGUUGUUUUCUUCGAGGAUUUUCCCAAUGCACGAUUUUUACCUUCUUGCACUUGUCGUAAUAUCAUCGGAUAAUAAGAAAGAUAGACUAUUGUGUAAAAAUCUGUUUUUCCCUUUCUUAGAGAUUGAUUUUUUAUUGUUUCUUUUGGUGUAAACAUUAUUCUCUUUUAAGUUUGCUUGAAAUUUCUCCUACAAACGUUGCGAGAUUUUUCUAUGCUUCGGAAGAAAAGCAAGAAGAUAGAGAAAUGGAAAUCGGGAUAGAAAAUAAGAUAAAAAGAUCGAAUGGAAAGGAUAAGAAAUUUAAAAGAUUUUGUGCGAUUGAAAGGAUGUUUCGCUUAAGUUUCCACGAAAUCUUGACACGGAAAGAAACUGUACAGCACAAUUCUCGAGCACUCGUAACGCUAAAGUAGAGAGUAGAAUAAUAGGUGCUUGAAACAGUUACGAAAUGGCAGCUCGGCUAGAUCUCGCACGCGAAUUUUUUCUCGAAUGAAAACUAUUUUGAUGUUAUUUUUAUAUGAACUCUAUACGAUUAGAGGAAAUGAACAAAGGAUAAGAGAUGCAAUAGUAUUUUGCAAUGAUAAUGAUAAAAUAUUUUUUUUUUAAAAGAUUGUAAAGAUGAAGAGAAAUGACUGAGAUACCGAUUAAAGUAACGAUCGAUCGUAGCCAAAUAUCUAAUUUGGAAUGAUCACAAUCAUAACCAUAUAGCGAUAAUGAUUCUCUAAACGAAAAGUUUUAACAGGGAUAUCUUAGACACGCGAUGGCACGUUUAAAUUACGUAGAACCCAAAUACAGAGCAGUGAAUCUGCAAUCGUAACAGCUCUACGCCCGUGUCUAUAACGUCCCUCUAUUGGCGUUGAGUAGCUACCGAGCGAGGGCAAUCUCGCUAUUGAUUGCACCUUGCAUCCUCCCGCCCCUUUCUCCUGCCGCGAUCCCCUCUCCGCGACCAUCCUUCGUCCAUCCCAACCCUCAGGGCAACCCCUCCGAUUCCUCUUUUUCUCUACUACUUUCCUCUUUCCCUCGACUCUUUUCGAUUCGAAUUUGCCCCAAGCCAAGGGCCGAGAGACGCUCAGGAACGCACAUUUUAUUCUUUUAUUUUUUCGACGCAACAUACGGUUUCGAUUAUUAACUUUAUACAACAGAAAGUGAUACCAUUUUUUUUUUUAAUUAUUACAAUAUUACAAUAGAAUCUGUUUAUAGAAACGAAAUUUUACCGAUGUCUGAUUAUUUGAAUUGUCACUGAAUAUCACUAAGAACAUACAACAAUUAUGAAUAAUAACUUUAAGAGAUCGAAAUAUGAAAUUGGAUACGAGAAGAGAAGAGUUUGUCCUGUAUAUUUGAAUAAUACGAAAACUUGAUUUGAAAUUGAUACAUUAACUUUUCACGUAAUCUAAUAUAAUAUAACCUAACCUAACCUAACUCGUUCCGUCUUCCGAUUGGCCGAAAUUAUUACGGAUUUUUAUUUAGAGAUAUCGAAGAACAAUGUAUCGACUCGCGGUGACUCGCCCCAACAGCGACGAUCCCACUUUGACGUCUUGACGUCAAUUUUGUUAAUUAAUUCGCCUUCAUUAAAACGAUCGAUCGAGAGACUCGGGUUGACACGUUAGUUACACUUCACCACCGUGAAAACUCGAUUUAACCGCUUAAAGAUUUAUCGGGGACAACCAGUCUCGUCGACUUGUUAUUGCAACGAAAAAUUUUGCGCAUUUAUUACACACAUUUUCUUCAAUAAUAACAAAACUAACGAAUUAUAAUUUUAAGGAAAAUGGUUUCAAUUCCUGUAAGAUUGAAUGUUUACGAUUUGGAAAAGAAAUAUUUUGAGUAACUCGAGAAAUGCAAAUUUUUGGUCGCGAAGCUUUUAUGACGCAUUUACAAUCGAUACAUUCAGUAUGAAAGUUGAAACGACAGAGCAACGAAGCCAUUGUUUUCUCAUAAUGUAUAGCGACUGCAAUCGACACCCGAUGCAUCACUGUAUAAAAGAUUAAAGUUUCAGCGGGAAACAUCACGUAUUGCAUUAUUUUGACUUUACGAUGAUUUAUAAUCUACGAUGUCAUGUCAUAUCAUCCUUGCCUUCCAAAGAAUUCAAAGAGAG